rnacentral:miRNA from 1 species
UGAGGCAGGAGAAUUGCUUGAACCCAGGAGGUGGAGGUUGCAGUGAGCUGAGAUCACACCAUUGCACUCCAGCCUGGGCAACAGAGACUCUGUCUAAAAAAAAAAAAAA